ACGGGAGGCAGCAGUGGGGAAUAUUGGGCAAUGGGCGCAAGCCUGACCCAGCAACGCCGCGUGAUUGAUGAAGGUCUUCGGAUUGUAAAAAUCUGUUCUUAGUGAAGAUAAUGACGGUAACUAAGCAGCAAGCUCCGGCUAACUACGUGCCAGCAGCCGCGGUAAUACGUAGGGAGCAAGCGUUGUCCGGAUUUACUGGGUGUAAAGGGUGCGUAGGCGGCUUUUCAAGUCAGCUGUGAAAUGUAUGGGCUCAACCCGUAACCUGCAGUUGAAACUGUUAAGCUUGAGUGGAGUAGAGGCAAGUGGAAUUCCCGGUGUAGCGGUGAAAUGCGUAGAGAUCGGGAGGAACACCAGUGGCGAAGGCGACUUGCUGGGCUCUUACUGACGCUGAGGCACGAAAGCGUGGGUAGCAAACAGGAUUAGAUACCCUGGUA
rnacentral:rRNA from 1 species